ensembl:lncRNA
CAGUGAAAAUAGUGAUGUAACUUGAAUGUUCUCAUUAUAAUUUAACUUAUUCAUUCACUAUACAUGUGCCCCCAGAAUAUAUUGACAUAAAAAGAGCAUACCCAGUAUGACUUUUGGGGGUAGUCUAUGUGGCUAAAUUAAAAUUAGAAUAAAAGUAAUUUUGAGGGUUUAAAGAUAUUUGGAUUUUUGGUUUAUUCAGAUGGUUUGUGUAUUUAGAAACAACUCAUAUCACAAGACCUUUCUGAAUUAACUUAAUCCAAGGUAUGACCACACAAUUCCAGUAUGAUGGGUAAAAAGAAAAAAUUCUGUCCCUAUUUUAUUCUUUUUUUUAAAACAAUUAUUUAUUCAUUUCUGGCUGUGCUGGAUCUUCGUUGCUGUGUUCGGGCUUUCUCGAGUGUCUAGUUUGCUCAUUGCAGCCGCUUCUGUUGUUUCAGAGCAUAGGCUCUAGCUGCACCUUGGAUAGUAUUGAUCUGUUUGGGAGAAUGUCUGCCCCGAAUCGGCACAGAUCAGUCAUCAAGAUUCUUGUUGGCCUGGCGUAAUUUUCUAGCCAAUUGUAGAAAAUGAGACACAGGUCAAUAUGGUCUCAUCUGGGCCUCCUGUGAGCAUCAGCAAAAGAGUCAUCCAAUUUCUGGGUCCCUUCAGUCGUGUCCGACUCUGUGUGACCCCAUAGACGGCAACCCACCAGGCUCCCCUGUCCCUGGGAUUCUCCAGGUCUAAAGUUCACAACCAGUCCAUCCUAAAGGAAAUAAGUCCUGAAUAUUCAUUGGAAGGACUAAUGUUGAAGCUGAAACUCCUGAUACAAAGAGCUGACCCAUUUGAAAAGACCCUGAUGCUGGGGACGAUUGAAAGCAGGAGGAGAAGGGGACGACAGAGGAUGAGAUGGUUGGAUGGCAUCGCUGACUUGAUGGACAUGAAUUUGAAUGGACUCUGGGAGUUGGUGAUGGACGGGGAGGCCUGGCGUGCUGCAGUCCAAGGAGUAGGACAUGACUGAGAGACUGAACUGAACUGAACUGAAAGUUCACAAGACACUUAGACGUGACUUUAUAUACCCUAUUACAUCCUUUAUAGACUUUUAAUUAAUCAUCUUUCUUUGAAGAAGAAUUCAUUCCAAACCUAUUUUGCACUUUGCCUCUGUAUCUCCUAAGUUUGGAUCUGUCUUUGGGUUUUCUGCUUUGUUCUAUUCCUCUAUUUGUUGAUCCUAUGUUGGUCUCAGAAUCUUGACUACUAUGAGGAAGUCAGGUAAUGUAAUUCCUUCAACUUCUUUCUUUUUCAAGAUUGCAAGUACAUUAUAUACAAUUGAAUAUUGUAGUUGUGUUUUCAUAUAAAUUUUAGAAUACAUUUGUUCAAUUCUAUAUGUACACACAAAAUGUUUGAUGGGAUUAUGAUUGGGAUAGAUCAGUUUAGGGAGAAUUGAAAUAUUAAAGUAACUAUGUGCCACAUAUAGAUAAUUUAAAGAAACACAAAAUAUUUCUGAAAUUGAAGGGGAUUAUAAGGAAUCAAAUAUUAGAAACAAGUAGUAUCAAAAAGAAAGGGCUGUCCAUGAUUGACUGAUCCUUUAACAUAAAAGCAAAAUUGAAAAAAGUCUUCAGGAGAUGGGAAUGGCAACCCACUCCAGUAAUCUUGCCUGGAAAACUCCUUGAACAGAAGAGCCUGGAGGGCUGCAGUCCAUCGGGUUACAUGACAGAGCACACACACGAUGGAGGUGGAGGAAGAUGGGUUGGUAGCAAUAAACAGAGGUAGAACUAAAAGAAAGAAAAGAGUCUUCAAAACCAUGAACAUGGUAUAUCUUUUCCAUUUACUUAAGUUUUAAUUGUUCUCAACUAUGGAUGGCUGGAUGGCAUCACUGACUCAAUGGACGUGAGUCUGAGUGAACUCCAGGAGUUGCUGAUGGACAGGGAGGCCUGACUUGCUGCGAUUCAUGGGGUUGCAAAGAGUCGGACACGAAUGAGCGACUGAACUGAACUGAACUGAACUGAUGGUUUGUAGAUCCAUUUUGUAUUUUAACAGUUAUUGAAAAACCAUGCAGAAAUAGAAUAAUAAAUACAGUUUCCAUCUCUUCACCUCAAAGGAUCUUGAUGAGUUAUAAAGAAUUCCUGGUGCAGGCUUAUACAUGUCUUCAAUACUUUUUAAGGCUGAUUACCUAUGGUCAGUUAAAAAGAAUGUAUUGAACACACUUUCCAGGAGUGGUGUACUAAUUCAUCAAAACCUCUUGCACUCAUUUUUUGGGUGUUCAUUUUAAACCACAGUCACUCCUUUAAAUGAAUAAUUUUUGUCACUGUGAGAUUUAUACCCACUGAAUAUUAAAAAUGAUCUUUUAUUGGUGAGUGUUCUAUUGAAUAUUUCAUACUUUUCAUAUGAAUAGGUUCCUACUCAAAACAAUCCAUCAUUGGGACUUUCCUGGUGGUUCAGUGGUUAAGACUCCAUGGUUCCAAUGCAGGAGGCACAGGUUCAAUUUCUGGUUGGGAAACUGGGAUCCCACAUGCUGUGUAGCCAAAACAAAACAAAACAAAUCAAUCCAUCAUAGUGCUUGAAUUUUGAGUGGUGGAAACAUGCAGUUCCCAUUGUGCCAACAUUUGGGUGACAGUUACUUUCUGCUGUAUUGGAGAGCUACAUC